UUAAUUGAAACCAAAAAGAGGUAUAUCACUGUUAAUGGUAAAAUUGAGGAGCCCUCCAGUUAAA
rnacentral:tRNA from 1 species